rnacentral:rRNA from 1 species
GAUGAACGCUGGCGGCGUGCUUAACACAUGCAAGUCGAACGUGAGAAUAGAAAUAUUUGAAAGUGGCAAACGGGUGAGUAACACGUGGGAACCUGCCCUGGAGUGGGGGAUAACGACUGGAAACGGUCGCUAAUACCGCAUGGUUCUGUAUCGGGUGGAAUGAUACAGAUAAAGAUUUAUUGCUCUAGGAGGGGCCCGCGGCCGAUUAGCUAGUUGGUGAGGUAAAGGCUCACCAAGGCGAUUAUCGGUAGCUGGUCUGAGAGGACGAUCAGCCACACGGGAACUGAGACACGGUCCCGACUCCUACGGGGGGCAGCAGUGAGGAAUAUUGGGCAAUGGGCGAAAGCCUGACCCAGCAACGCCGCGUGGAGGAUGAAGGCUCUAGGGUUGUAAACUCCUUUUGUGGGGGAAAAGAGAGGAUGGUACCCCAAGAAUAAGUCACGGCUAACUACGUG